rnacentral:rRNA from 1 species
GACGAACGCUGGCGGCGUGGUUAACACAUGCAAGUCGAACGAUGAAGCCCAGCUUGCUGGGUGGAUUAGUGGCGAACGGGUGAGUAACACGUGGGCAACCUGCACCAAACUCUGGGAUAACUCCUCGAAAGAGGUGCUAAUAACGGAUACGAACUAGGUAGACAUCUUCCCGAGUUUGAAAGUUCUUCGGUUCGGGAUGGGCUCGAGGCCUAUCAGCUUGUUGGUGAGGUAACGGCUCACCAAGGCUACGACGGGUAACCGGCCUGAGAGGGCGACCGGUCACACUGGGACUGAGACACGGCCCAGACUCCUACUGUAGGCAGCAGUGGGGAAUAUUGCGCAAUGGGCGAAAGCCUGACGCAGCGACGCCGCGUGAGGGAUGAAGGUCUUCGGGUUGUAAACCUCUUUUAGUAGGGAAGAAGCGAAAGUGACGGUACCUGCAGAAAAAGCACCGGCUAACUACGUGCCAGCCGCCGCCGUAA